rnacentral:rRNA from 1 species
CAGAGGGUGCAAGCGUUGCUCGGAAUCAUUGGGCGUAAAGGGCAGGUAGGUGGUCUGAUUUGUCUGGUGGUGAAAGCCUUGGGCUUAACCCAAGAAGUGCCCCGGAAACGGUCAGACUUAGAGUCUUGGAGAGGGUUGCGGAAUUCCCGGUGUAGCGGUGAAAUGCGUAGAGAUCGGGAGGAACACCAGAGGCGAAGGCGGCAACCUGGACAAGCACUGACACUCAACUGCGAAAGCGUGGGGAGCAAACAGGAUUAGAUACCCUGGUAGUCCACGCCGUAAACGAUGGGUACUAGGUUUGGUGGGUCUUGACCCCCGCCGAACCGGCGCUAACGCACUAAGUACCCCGCCUGGGAAGUACGGUCGCAAGACUA